UAUACCCAGAAAUUUGUUACCAUAGUGAUUCUAAAUCUCAUCAAGUUGCUAAUCAAGAUUAACCACCAUGCUGGUCAUCUGUGCUGUUGACAUGUUGGCAGAAGAAUGUUUGUAGCAGCAACAACCCCAAGACCGUUUCUUGAAGAGCUCAUCUGUGGAAGUUACAGAAAGAGCUGCAACCUGGAAAGAUGGCGUUGAGGGCUUCACCAUUGCCUACAGCUGUUCUACUGUAUUAGGACUGUAGGCCAUUCCAGGAUGACCCCAGUCUUUACGACAAAUUAGUGAUGCUUAGUCUGCUUAGAGUGUUCAGAGGCUGUGGAUGACUUUACUGAUGUCAUUUACCACUCACAGGCUUGGAAUCUCCCUUACUCCAGAAAUGGCCACAUAUGCUUGUAAUAACAAUACUCAGAGGCUGAGGCAUAGGAAUUGCCAGGAGUUGCACAGAAGGACAGCCUGGUCUAUGAGGCAAUUUUAUUUCACUAUGUGGAGCUGGAGUAGCAACCAAGUUCCCAGUGGGGACUCCUGUGAGCAAAGGCUUUGAGUAAGAUAUAAAUAAAAGUGGGCUCGGCUGAUGGGGGCACCAGCAGAAGAUGGAGAGGAACCAAUUAUCGUACUCUUAAUGGCUAGCAGCUCCUUCUCCAUGGCUCCCAUGACCGGUGGAUCUGGAAAAAGAAGAAGGAAAAUGAAGAAGAGGACAGAAUAACUUGUAAAUGUCAGCCACUGUACUAGAAUGUUUACAUCCACAGUCCCAAGUUAGUUUUGCAGAGCCUCUGUCAUCGCCAUAUACAAGGAGUAGAACCCAGGCUCAGAGCAAGGAGGUACACUGUGGGAGAGAACGUGGUUGUUGAAGCUCUCAGGCCUGGCUUUUCCAGUUUUAUUGAAUUAUAAAAUCAUUGUUUCCAAGGAUUUUUUUCUUAUUUUCUCAUAAGGUAAGGUGGUGAGGGACACGUCACUUCUGCCUCUCUUCAGUCUCCUAUUGAACAGGGUUGCUACUCUCCUACUCAAAAUUCUCUUUUGCUUUUGUUGUCUUUGGCUAAGACAUUCUGGUACCUGCAUGUUGGCUCCUUUGCUUAUUAGGUGUCUUUGAGCCUUUCCAGAAAGUAUCAAAAUAAUCUGCAGACAGUGAUGAGAGAACAUGAUAGGAAAGGUUUCUGUAAUACAAGUCUGGGACCCAUAUGGAAAUAUCACUUCAUGAAGGCAACUCAAAGGAAAAAUGUUCCCUGCUCUGUGGGUCACAUCCAAAGCUACUCUGCGGUAACCCAAAACUAGCUCCAUUUCCAAUGGCAGACAGUGUUAAUUUUUCACCUAAGAUAACAUCACUCACCUUGACAGAUUUAAAUCUGCUUCAAUCUUGUCUUUUACUUUUAUACACAUGUAGUAUCAUGACUAAUUUCUAAUUUCCUUACAAUGAGUAAAAUAAUAUUUAAUUGUGUUAACAUGAAUAGUUGAGCCAAACAUCUGUAACCAUCUCACUGAUAAUUUAUGGGCUAUUUGAUUGGCGGAGACACGGCUGACAUGGGGGUGGCUAACUUUGAUGUGGGUCUGUAGCCAAAAUACUAUGUAGGGCUGGGAGAUGUAAUUUGGUUGAUAAAGUAUUUGAAAAACAUGCAUGAAGCCCUAGGUUUGGCACCUACCACUGCAUAGUCCAGGUGUGGUGAUGCACAUCUGCACUCCCAGUCAGUGGGAGAGAGAGGCAGCAGAUUGGAAGGUCAAGGGCAUCCUUGAGUACAUAGAAAGUUAGAAGCCAGUGUGGGAAAUGAGAGAUCUGGUCUCAAGAUAAACAAACAAACAGAUGCAAUAAAGACAGCUAAAGUAAACUCCCAUUUCCUGAUUCUUGUGAUUAAAAAAUAGUAUUUUAUACAUAGCAUGUUUGAGGCAAUUGGCUUCAAGUUUUU